rnacentral:rRNA from 1 species
CACCGCCCGUCACAUCAUGAAAGCCGGUUGUACCCGAAGUCGCUGUGCCGACCGCAAGGGGCAGGCGCCGAAGGUAUGGCUGGUGAUUGGGAUG